AAAUUGAAGAGUUUGAUCAUGGCUCAGAUUGAACGCUGGCGGCAGGCCUAACACAUGCAAGUCGAACGGUAACAGGAAGCAGCUUGCUGCUUUGCUGACGAGUGGCGGACGGGUGAGUAAUGUCUGGGAAACUGCCUGAUGGAGGGGGAUAACUACUGGAAACGGUGGCUAAUACCGCAUAAUGUCGCAAGACCAAAGAGGGGGACCUUCGGGCCUCUUGCCAUCAGAUGUGCCCAGAUGGGAUUAGCUUGUUGGUGAGGUAACGGCUCACCAAGGCGACGAUCCCUAGCUGGUCUGAGAGGAUGACCAGCCACACUGGAACUGAGACACGGUCCAGACUCCUACGGGAGGCAGCAGUGGGGAAUAUUGCACAAUGGGCGCAAGCCUGAUGCAGCCAUGCCGCGUGUAUGAAGAAGGCCUUCGGGUUGUAAAGUACUUUCAGCGGGGAGGAAGGUGUUGUGGUUAAUAACCGCAGCAAUUGACGUUACCCGCAGAAGAAGCACCGGCUAACUCCGUGCCAGCAGCCGCGGUAAUACGGAGGGUGCAAGCGUUAAUCGGAAUUACUGGGCGUAAAGCGCACGCAGGCGGUCUGUCAAGUCGGAUGUGAAAUCCCCGGGCUCAACCUGGGAACUGCAUUCGAAACUGGCAGGCUUGAGUCUUGUAGAGGGGGGUAGAAUUCCAGGUGUAGCGGUGAAAUGCGUAGAGAUCUGGAGGAAUACCGGUGGCGAAGGCGGCCCCCUGGACAAAGACUGACGCUCAGGUGCGAAAGCGUGGGGAGCAAACAGGAUUAGAUACCCUGGUAGUCCACGCCGUAAACGAUGUCUACUUGGAGGUUGUGCCCUUGAGGCGUGGCUUCCGGAGCUAACGCGUUAAGUAGACCGCCUGGGGAGUACGGCCGCAAGGUUAAAACUCAAAUGAAUUGACGGGGGCCCGCACAAGCGGUGGAGCAUGUGGUUUAAUUCGAUGCAACGCGAAGAACCUUACCUGGUCUUGACAUCCACGGAAGUUUUCAGAGAUGAGAAUGUGCCUUCGGGAACCGUGAGACAGGUGCUGCAUGGCUGUCGUCAGCUCGUGUUGUGAAAUGUUGGGUUAAGUCCCGCAACGAGCGCAACCCUUAUCCUUUGUUGCCAGCGGUCCGGCCGGGAACUCAAAGGAGACUGCCAGUGAUAAACUGGAGGAAGGUGGGGAUGACGUCAAGUCAUCAUGGCCCUUACGACCAGGGCUACACACGUGCUACAAUGGCGCAUACAAAGAGAAGCGACCUCGCGAGAGCAAGCGGACCUCAUAAAGUGCGUCGUAGUCCGGAUUGGAGUCUGCAACUCGACUCCAUGAAGUCGGAAUCGCUAGUAAUCGUGGAUCAGAAUGCCACGGUGAAUACGUUCCCGGGCCUUGUACACACCGCCCGUCACACCAUGGGAGUGGGUUGCAAAAGAAGUAGGUAGCUUAACCUUCGGGAGGGCGCUUACCACUUUGUGAUUCAUGACUGGGGUGAAGUCGUAACAAGGUAACCGUAGGGGAACCUGCGGUUGGAUCACCUCCUUACCUGAAAGAAGC
rnacentral:rRNA from 1 species